CUCCCCCAAUUCCCACAUGUCGUUGGAGGAACCCAGUGGGAGGUGAGUGAAUUAUGGGGGUGGAUCUUUCCUGCACUGUUCUUGUGAUAGUGAAUGAGUCUCAUGAGAUCUGAUGGUUUUAACAACAGGAGUUUCUCUGCACAGGCUCUCUUUUUGCUUGCUGCCAUCCAUGUAAGACAUGACCUGCUCCUCUUUGCCUUCUGCCAUGAUUGUGAGGCCUCCCCAGCCUCUUGGAACUAUAUGAUGUCAGUGAAUAUGAAGAGUAUUAUUAAUAGAAGAAAAUGGCUCAAGAGUUUAAAAAGAAAUAUUGCCAUUGGCAAUCUUCUUCCUGAUGGCCUGCCCAAUGGCUUCUUCAUUCAGAUACGAAUAAGCUGAGUCAAUAUGGCGGUAGCCUACAUCUAUUGCCACCUGGACGGCUUCUUCUACAUUACUCAUGGCAACCUGGA